rnacentral:lncRNA from 1 species
CACUGAUUUGCUCAUUUGCUUCACAGCACCUGAAUUUCUCUGGCACAUUCAUUCCCCUCCUCAGUCAUAUUGAUCUGCUCUUUGCUCGUUCAGGGAAAAAUGCUGGAAAUGUCAUCCAUCUGCCCUUACGGAUGCAAGAGUAAGAUGUCCUUAUUGCUACAUGUCUGUUUGAAUGCAGAAUGCAAGACAGCCAUCCAUUUUACUCUAGCACAGAAAAUUGAAAGAACCCUGCUCAUUUAAUUCCUGUCUGAGUGGCCAACAGAAAUGACAUUCUCUUUAUAAACGAUUUCACAGCACAAAAAAAAAGGCUUCAUCUGCAAUUUUUUGCAAAAGUUCUCCCUGGACUAUUUUGCUGAUAAUUAAUUUAUUUUAAAGGCAUCUAUGUAAGGUGAAGAUGAGCUAGUACUCCUAUAAUUAUAAUUUCUUCUUUUUGCCUUGCAGAUAUUUC